GUUAAGCUGGAGGAUUUAUACGUUCUUUAUUGAAGAUUUGUGUCCCUGCAUUUGUAUAAAUGAUCUUACACAUGUUUUUUUUAUUUGCUUAGAAAUGAUGGCCAGUAUAAUACUGAGGUGUUAAGCUGAAGGUUUUAUAUGUUCUUUAUUGAACGCUUUUGUGUUAAACACUUGUGUCUCUGUAUUUGUAUAAAUCAUCUUACACGUCAUUUUUAAUUUGUCUAAUAAUUAUGAUAAAAAAUAAGUAUUCUACAAUGAUGCAUAUCAAAAAUAUGAAAGAUGGAAGUCAAAAUUAAGGAACACAUAAUUUAGUGGUAGGGAAACUAUAACUAAUAACCUUUUUCUGAAAGUAUUAUUUUCUCAACACUUUUUAAAAGUUGUUAUUCUUACAAAUUAAGUAUGCCAGCUAGGGUUGAUCACCAAACACCUUUUCUAUUAGGAUGUAACUCAAUGACAUGUUUAGUGUUAACAAAGUAGAGUAAAGAAAUUUCAGCUGAAUAAUUAUGUUUUUAUCCAAUGAAAACAAAUAUGUUUUCAGCCAAGUUACGCUAAAAAGAAAUAAAGUGAAGUAACUUGUUUUCUAGAUUAAUAGAGAAAACAAAGAUUUAUGUUGGGUUUCACUUUUAUUUUUUUCUCCUUAGUUUAACUUUUUUCAUCUCACUUGACUUGUUAUUCAGUCACAAUUUUAGUAUUCUCUUUGUUUUAAGAUAUUGGUAGAUUUAGCUAAAACACACAAAUUUUAAAAUAUUAUUUUAAAGGUAGCAUUUAAUAUAUAUAUAUAUAUAUAUAUUAAAUAUAAUUGAACUAAUCAUAAAAUAUAUAUAAUUUGGUUGGCUACAUUAUACUUAAUAAAUGAAAAAAAUUACAUAGAAAUGUGAACAAUUUAUAUUUUGAAAAAAAAAACUCCUUGUAUUAUGAAAUAGAAAGAGUAUUAUUAAGGGAAAAUUCCAUUUAAAUACCCAAACUAAAUUUUAAUAAGCUUUUUAAUACCCCAAUUAUUUACCUGCCCAGAUUAAUACCCCAUCUAUUUAUUUUACCUAAAUUAAUACUCUGAGUAUAAACCGUAUACUUAUUUUCGAUCGUAUACGAAAGAGAGGUUACGGAAAACGUGAACGCGGUUUUGAUUCCAUCUUAUAUUUAACCUAUGGUGAGAAGGCUGAUGAUGAAGAAGAUAGUGAUGCUGAUGAUAGAGAAGAACAAGAAGAAAGUGAUGGGGAUAACCCUGAAGCAGAAACUGAUGAAGAAGAGAUAGCGGAAGAAGUUCAUCGAGAGGAAGAAGGUGGAGUACAAUCACAGGACGAGUCUGACAUUUUAGCUGAAGGAGAACCUGACCCACGGUUUGGAAACUUUUUUGAAUCAGUGGAAACUGAGACGCUUACACUCCUUUUUGAAGCACCACCUGCGGUGAAUAUUGACGACGAUGAAGCAGCUGAUAGUGAAGUCGAAACUGAGAAACCAAUUCCCACUGGUGAAUAUUCAGAUUCUCCUGAAGAUACUGAUGAAGAAUGGCAUAACUGGCAGAAGAAGGAUGGCCGUGGAAGAAGCUUUAAAGGAAAAAGCAAGGCUGGUUAUGAUAAGCCUCCUUACUUAUGGUUGAUGCAAACAUUCACAAAGGGGGAUGAGUUCAAGGAUCAAUUACUGAGGUAUGUGUUGAAAACUCAGUAUGAUGUGAAGUUGAAUAAGUGGCAACCAACAAAGUAUGCAGUAAUAUGCACACACGAGAAGUGCAAAUGGAGAAUAUAUUGCUCACUAUUAGGAAAUGGAUGGUCAAAUUAUAUGAGGACAAUCAUAAUCAUCUGCCAACAGGAAGAGCAAGGAUGCUCCAGCAGGGAGCUAUUGCACGUUUGUUCAAAGAAGAGACAAGACGAAGACCUGAAAUAAGGAGCUUUGACAUCAAAGAUGAGCUGAUGCACAGGUACAACAUAUCAGUUUCUAUAUAUAAAUGCAGAAAAGCGAGAAGAAUUGCAUUAGAUAUGGUGUUAGAUACUCAGAAACAGCAGUUUGCAAAGCUGUGGGACUAUGAGGCUGAGUUAAAAAGAAGUAACAAAAAUGUUACUACGGAGAUUGUGACUGUCGAGAAGGAUAGAAUCAAUGUAUUUGAAAGCUUCUAUAUCUGCUUUGAACCACUACGAAGAAUUUGGAAGAAAUGUUGCAGGCCUUUAAUAGGCCUUGAUGGUGCAUUCUUAAAGUGGGAGUUGAAGGGAGAGAUAUUAUCAGUAGUGGGUAGGGAUGCGGAAAACAGGAUUUAUCCGAUUGCUUGGGCUGUCGUAAGAGGAGAGAACAAGGAGUCUUGGGAAUGGUUUAUGAAGAAGUUGUCGGCUGACUUAGACUUGGGUGUAGGAGAUGGAAUUGCUUUUAUUAAUUUCAGACAAACAAAAGGGUUUGAAAGUGGCUCUUGCUACUGUUCUUCCAAACGCUGAGCACAAAAACUGUGCUAAGCAUGUCUAUGGCAACUGGAAAAAGAAAUAUGGAGAUCUUGAUUACAAACCCUUUUUUUUUUUGGAAUGUUGCUUACAGUAAAACAAAGGGAGAGUAUGAUUUGCACAUUGAAGCACUGAAAUCAUUUGAUAUCCACGCACAUGAUGAUUUGUUGGCAGCUGAUCCUACAACUUGGUGUCUUGCUUUCUUCUCGGGAAAUGCCAGAUCGGGUCAGGUUUGUAACAACUUAUCCGAGAGUUUCAACAAAACUAUCAAGGGAGCAAGAGAACUACCAUUGAUUAACAUGCUGGAAAGCAUUAGGAGACAAGCUAUGAUCCGUAUUUCUCGGAGACUUAAGAAAGCAAGAGCUUGCAUAAUGCCUUUCCCGAAGAAGGUUGCAGAUGUCCUAGAAUUAAAUCGAAGAGAGAGCAAGUAUUGUACUAUAUUUAUAAGUUCAGACAACUUGUUCGAAGUUCUGCUCCAUAGUUGUGGGUAUGAGGUCAGUGUUCGUCUCCGCCAUUGUGCUUGUCGUGAAUGGGACCUAACUGGGAUACCUUGUUGUCAUGCGAUAUGUGUCAUCAAUGACAACCACCAACAGCCAGAGAACCAUGUAGAUCCCUAUUACAAUACUGAUGUGUGGAUAGAGAACUACAGCGACAACAUCAAACCAGUUAAUGGAGAAAUAUUUUGGGCAAAAACCGGUAAAGAUCCAAUAGGAGUUCCAGGUUUUAGGAAGAUGUCAGGGAGACCGAAGAAAUAGAGGAUAAAAGCAGCUCAUGAGUCUCCUUCCAAACCAAAUAGAGUGACAAGAGAUGGUAGGACGAUAAUGUGUGGGAACUGUAAGAAGAUUGGACACAAUCGUGGAACAUGUAAAGAAGAUGCUUUUGUUGUCCAAGGUCCAGCACGCAAACGUGGAAGACCUCGUAAGAUACAAGUUGAUGGAUGCAUUAACCCACCAAAAAGGCGCAAGACUAGUCUAUCACAGCCCUCAAAUCAACAAUCUACUCCCAAUCAAUCACAAGCUUCAACUCAGCCUGCAAGCACUGCUCCUCAACCAACUACACGGAUACAAUCUCAGCCACCACCAUCUACUGUACCUACUGGUCGUGGACGCGGCCGUCGUGGACGACCUCCAGGAAGAGGACAAUCACGUAAAGUGACAGUGCCAAGAGGUGUUGGAGUGUACAUGUGCCCCUUCUCUGACCGUGUUUUUGAAUGUUUUGGUACUUCAAGAGAGGUUGGAGGAAGCUCUUCACAUGGUCCAAAGCCACGCAAGUAGGAAGCGUUUUCAAUAUAGUACUUUGUUUUGUUUGUCUGUAAACUCUACUUGUUUCUUUUUUUUAAUGUGUAAGCUCACUUUUAUCAAUUACUUUUUUUUUUAACACCUUUUAGAAGCAAACUAGCGUUUCAUUACUAAACAUAACAACUAAACAACAUUUCAGUCCGAACACAGCAACAAAAUAUUUCAAUCCUUUCAUAACACUACAACUAAAACCAUUACAAAUUACUUGAGCAUUG